rnacentral:lncRNA from 1 species
UUUCGGAUAACAUUGUUUAAUUAACUUCUUAAAAACUGGUCAUGCAUGGUUUAUAUGUAGUCACAUUUUUUUUUUCCUUGUAUUUAUUCAAUCUCAUAUCCAAAUUUUAUGAUCUUUCAAGGCCAUUAUGGUCAUAGAGAUAAAUCUGGAUCAUCAAAAUAUUCUCUUUUUUAAGAGCUUGAAUAUAUUGUUUAUGUUUUCUGGGGGAGUCAACCUGGAAUGCAUCCUCACGAUUUUUCUCAAGAAAUUGGGUUAAAGACUUCAAUGCUUCUUCCUGAAAAAGAACUAAAACGUUAGCUGUUAGUAUAUAUUUUCCAUGGUUCAAAGUUUUAAAGUUGAUGAACACUAACGUUUUCUAUAGCAAAGUGGAAAAAAGAAAAGGUUAAUUAAAAUGAAGUUACAAACCCUGGCAAGGGCGAGUUCAUCAGAAUUCAGGGAGAAGCCAGAAGGCUUAAUGGACCCAAUUCUCUCUAGCUUUGGUGGAGCAGGGAGAGGUGGUUUUUGGUUUUCCAUUUUCUGGAAACCCAAAAGGAAAAAAGAGGAAAAUACUGAGAGAUGAAACUGCUUCUUUAUAGAAAGCUUCUGGUGUUUG